GUUUGAGACGAAGAGAUUUUCUGAGGUGCCGCCUGACGAAGGCGGGAACAGUACUGUAUUGUAACCCUCAUGGGUAAUUUGUAACAGUCGAGCGAGUUGAAUUUUGCGAGGUGCAUAGGUUCCUGUCCAUCAUUUUGCUUAGGCAGUGCGGGCUGCUUGAGUGUGUGGGGCAUUUGAAGCGUGGCGAUGAUUGACUUGGCCAAUCCAAGAAUGCCAACAUGUUUUCCAACAAGUGGCUGCAGUGCUUUUAAGAGCAAAACAAGCUACAUUACAUCAGGAUUUUUAGCUAAAGUGGUUCAAUAAGCCAAGAAGCUACCAAUGCUGCCCUAUUUGAAUUCCCAGCAAUCAUUGCUUGCUAUAAGUUAAUGGACAUGUUAAAUAUAGAUAAAACUGGUAUAUUUUUUGUUCACGUGAGGUAAUAUUGGAAGCCAUAUUAUGGAAGGCACAGUGUAGCAGACACGGCUUUGUUUAGUUGAGAGGUUUUACAUUCUCUUUGAACUUAUCUAGGUUAAUUUUGGUUUACUUGGGUGGGUGUGGAUGUAUAGGAGAGGAGACUCUUUAGACUUAAUAUUCAAUAGAAGUAUGAUUGGAUUAAUUGGUGGGAAGACCUUUUUGUGGAGUGGUUAUUGAACUUAUAGUUAUUUGAAAGUAAUGAAUGGUGAAUUGCAUAGCUUCUUAGUAUUUUUAGGUACAAGUUGCUUUUACUAUAGAUAUAAUUGUAAGUUUCUAAUUAGUUACUUGCAUAAUAUAAAUUAGAAGUUGAUAUUAUCAAUUUUCUUCAUUAGACUAUUUGGAAUGUCCCAAUGCUAAGGAUUUUGAGCCAUUGGUAGAUAUUGACAAGACUUAUUAGCUUAUUUGAAAUUGGAUAUUAUUAGUAGGCUUUGGAUCUUUAGUGUAUAUUUAAUGACAUGGAAGAAAAUCAUUGUGGUACAAUGUGUGAUUG
rnacentral:lncRNA from 1 species